AAGAUCAUACUUCACAGGAUCAUUUCUGUAGUAUAUCUUCACAUUCUCUCUACUCAAAAGUGGAGUUGAUGCAGCCACGAUGACGAGGAAUAGUCCUCUUUCCUGAGCGUGAGGACGACUCGGGAACUUGACUUGUUUCAAGUUUCCAGUCAUCGAUGAUCGUUCACCUUCUGUACUCCGUACGGGAGGCCUGGGAAGAUGGGCUUUCUGAGUGGU